rnacentral:rRNA from 1 species
AGGAUGAACGCUGGCGGCGUGCUUAACACAUGCAAGUCGAACGGUGAAGCAGGAGCUUGCUCUUGUGGAUCAGUGGCGAACGGGUGAGUAACACGUGAGUAACCUGCCCUUGACUCUGGGAUAAGCACUGGAAACGGUGUCUAAUACCGGAUACGACCUCCGAAGGCAUCUUCUGGAGGUGGAAAGAAUUUCGGUCAAGGAUGGACUCGCGGCCUAUCAGCUAGUUGGUGAGGUAAUGGCCCACCAAGGCGACGACGGGUAGCCGGCCUGAGAGGGUGACCGGCCACACUGGGACUGAGACACGGCCCAGACUCCUACGGGAGGCAGCAGUGGGGAAUAUUGCACAAUGGGCGCAAGCCUGAUGCAGCAACGCCGCGUGAGGGACGACGGCCUUCGGGUUGUAAACCUCUUUAGUAGGGAAGAAGCGAAAGUGACGGUACCUGCAGAAAAGCACCGGCUAACUACGUGCCAGCAGCCGCGGU